AGUCACUGUGUGACCAUCACUCACUGCCCUGUGCCCUGAGAGAUGAACUUCCUCCACGCCUCUCUCUGCCUAGCAAGCUUCUGCUUAUCCUUUGAACACAGCCCAAACAGCACCUCCUCUUUGAAGCUUUUCACGUGUCUCUAGGCAACGGGAUGUCACCAUCUGUACAGUGGUUCACAGUGUGAGCUUUGGAGCCAGGUUGCCUGCCUUCAAAUCCUGGCUCUGCCAUCUUCGUAGCUGCAUGGCUUUAGUCACUGGAUGAUCAUUUCUGGAAUAAGUAGCUCGUGAUACCAGUGUGGAUCUCUCUAUCAUAAAGGAUGUCCAAGCUCUGGCACUACCUGCUCCAGUGACCUCUAAGGGAGCCAAUGCCUCUGGACAAUUCAAAUUUGGCCUCAGAAGGAGUCAGUUCCCAACCAGGAUUUCGGUGAAGAAUGAUACAGAAAUGCAUGAAAUGAACAGAGUGUUUUGAGGCAAGGUAUUUUCCAUUUUUACUAAAAAAAAAAAAAAAAAAAAAAAAAAAAACAAAAUAAAACUGUAUCAUGAUAACAUGCACACAAAGGAACAGAAGAACCUAAACCAAAAUAUCAACAGAAAUGACUUCCAAAUGGUGAGACUAACUUUCUUUGCUUGUAUUUAUUUUUGCAGUUUCCUAAGCAAACAAGCAAAACAAAAACGAAAACAAAAAAUCAAAAACAACCCACCCCAGUCUGUGUGUGUGUUUAAUAACUUUUAAAAAAACAAAAAGAGAGAAAACAGCAGACCCAGUGUCACCUCUUUCUGCCAGGUGCUCAGAUACUCCAGACAAUCGUUGGCCGUACUCCCUUUACCCAAGGGGCAGUGUGGUUUAGACAGACAAAGAAGAAGUCAAGGGCAAGGGCACAGGGCCAGCUCAAGGCCUUAAAUGUCCUCUCCUUACUUAGCAUACGCUUCCCCAGCCAACCAGGGUGCCUGCCAACCCCCUUCUCCACCUCAAAAUCAAGGCCCCAAAGGCCCAUACCCAUGUAUUUUUCUCCUGGGACACCUGGGAGGCAGGUGGGGCAGGGAUCACACUAUCCUGAGGUGCAGAUGAAAGGAAGCCUGCAAGAUAACUUGCAUCUUCCACAGAUAAGGUGCACAGAGACCAAGUCUCAGGUGAGCACUGUGGGCACACUGAGCACUUCUGUUGUCUAAGACCAGAGGGGCUCAUGAGAAAACACCCAGUUCUGAUUCACCUUUGUCCCCAAGCUUCCUAUAGAACACAAGUCGGGAUACUGGAGUCUGGGUGUCUUAAAGCGGGAUGCCACCAUGAAUGACGUCUCAUCCAGCCCCCCAACCUCAUUUCUCACUCCAUCGUCUGUCUUCUGCAUACAACCCCAGGGGUAGCCCAGAUCACCCUUACAAGUGGGACUGUAGGAAACCCCUCCUUAUACUAAAAGCCUCACCCUUCCCUCCAGAAAGGGGCCCUGUGGGCCAGCUGCUUAGGGUCUCCCUUGAAGACCACAACCAUAAGGCAGCCUUGUCAGUAGGAAAGGGCUUGUCGAAACCAGCCAUUUGGGGUCUGAGAGGCUUGAAUGACACAUUUCUGGAACUGAGCUGGGCAGACACGUUCUGUCACCAGUGUCUAGAACAUUUUCUUAUUGAUAGAUCUGGUUUUAUCUCAUAAUUUGGGAAGAACUGUCCCUUGAGUGUGCAGAAACCCAAAAGGAGGGCAAGAGAAUAGAAAAGCCAAUUAUGGGGUGACCUAGUCAAAUUGUGGAGCAUGGGCUUGGGUCAACACUUUUUAUGAAGAGUCAAAUGUUCAACCGUGCAGUGGAGAAAUUUGAGGAAUUUAGGGAGAAGAGCGAGAAGGAAAAACAUUGAUGUUGGAAGUGCAAAAUAAAAGGAUGUGAAAGCUUUAGAAGCCAUUACAAAACGAUGUGGCUUUAAUCCAGGGGUGGCAGACCAAGCUGGGGUGAGAUUCUGUCGUGUCCAGCUGUCAGAGUUCAGGCAAGAGAAGACGGCCCGGAGGGGUCCCUACUCUGCCCUGGCAGGUCAGAACACCACCAUGUCCACCCCAGGGAGAGGCAACAGCAAAGGCCAAAUCACUUCAAGGUGAGAAGCACCAUACACAAGUGAGGUGCCAGAGCCAAAUAAGGAAGGCUCUGGCCUGGCAAUCAGCCCUUCCAAUGCCCAAAGCAAGGCCAGAGCCCAUGGCUGCUGGCUUCUCAGGGUGGCUUAAAGAAAACCCAACUUACAGAGUCAACUUACAGACUAAAGCCAGAGCCUACAAUGCCACAGAUGGAAGAGCCUUGACUCCCCUGCCUUGUAUUUCCAACCUUUGUUAAAAUGGACAUUUUGCAAAUGAAUCUACGGUCAAGCUCUGAUACAAUGAUCUAUUCGCUCUCAACAGAGUUACUCAUACCCUCUGAGUCCUGUAGUUUCCCAUCUGUAAAACAGGGUCAAUCCCAGCACUAGGGCAGAUAUGAGAAGUGAGAUAAUACAUGGAGGACAUGCUUGGCACACUGCGGGCAUCAGGAAGUGCUCAAUAAAUAGUAGCCGCUAACAUUAUCAUCGCUAAAUGUCACUUUUGUUGGUGGUGUUUAGGAAGAUCUUUGUAUACAUUCAAUCACAAAUCAGUAAAAAUGUCCUUGAUCAGUCUACUGGUUCAAGAAAUGUGUUCUCACACAGCUCAAGUUCUCUAAGUGUGGAAGGAAGCAAGCUUCAGGAAGCAGCUGAUUGCUCUGCAGAUCUGGAGCAGGGCAAGGAGACCCCCAAGGUGCCACAUGACCCCAAUCCUAGGAGGAGGUGAACAGGAUGAAGGAGGGAACCUCUAGCAUGCAGGCUCCCAGGAGCCCCGGAAGAUAAGCUACCAGGUCAAAACAAGUAGGGCUUGUCCACAUGGUUUUGAGAGCGUGGGAUCUUAAAUUUUAAAGCUUAAAAUUUUAUUUUAAAGCUAAUUUUAAACUUAAGGUGGAUUCACCUUUUGGGGGGGAGAGGGGAAGGAGGCUCUCAGCUUUAAUCUGAAUAUUCAUGAGGGCAUAUACCUGGUCACCAGAAAACAUCACCAACAGUCUCACUGUCCCCACUGGCCACAGUGAUCAUCUGUGAUCAUGUUCUCCUUCCCUCAUGUUCAAUGAAGAAGUUCAAGGGCACAGGUGUUACAAGUAAGAAACCUGAUUCCCCUGUACUGGCUGGCAGCCCUUCGCCCCAACAGAAAGUAGCUGGAGAAAGGGGUUCCAGGUUUGCUCUAGAAGAAGCAAUAGGGCAGAAAAGAUGAUGAAGGGAGCAAUUUAAGUCUGAGCAUGGGAUAAAGGUGGCCUGAGAGGGGGACACUUCUCUAGAGCGAUCUGGAAGGAAGGAGGGUUCCAUGGCUGCUUAGAUUUUGCCGAGGGCACCUAGCUUCUGGGUACCAGGUACGUGACUUUUGGCAAACUGAGGCCUCUCCCAGCCUCAACCCCAUCACCAUCCAAUGGCCCAAAGGGAUAAUGAUCCUUGUCUUAAUCAGGACUACCUGUCACACUUGUGAAGCGUUCACAAGGUGGUCACAAACCCCAAGCCUUACUCUGCAUACACGCUAUGUGAAAGGGACUAUCAGUUUCGCAUUCAGCUUCCACCCAGCAAUCGGUAAGUGUGAGGGCACAAUUCCUGUCAUGUG